CGGCCCGCGGCUAUUUCUGGGAAGACAGGUGGCUUCGGCCAGAAAUAGAGCAGGAAAUGCUACUGCAACACGCGGAAGGGGGGGAGCUGAAAGAAUCUGGAGGGGUCGGAAAGCUGGGUGGGAUGGAGAGUGGUCUGCAACGGUGCAGGGCUGGAUGGAGCAGGGUGUCGGGGUACAUAGGGGCAGGGCUCGGAAGGAGGUAGGACGGGAUGGAGCAGGAUAUGGGGGUACACAGGGGCAGGAUUGAGCAGGGUUUUAAGGUAAAUGUGGCAGGAUGGAGCAGGGUGUGGGGCAUAUGGGGCUGGGUAUGAGGGACAGGGGGACAGGAAGGAGCAGGGUAUUUGGGGGUGUAUAGGGGCAUACUUUGGGGGUCCAUGGAGCAGGAUGGACUGGGGUACAAGCGAAUAGGACACAGUGGGGUACAGGCUGUGCUCAUGUGGGGGAUGAAGGGCAUGGGGUGCUGCUGAUGCCCCCGAGGGUGGUGAUGGCCAGGUGCUCCAAGGCCCCGGUGAUGGGUGGCUGUCCACAGUGGCCGGGGGUGAAGACUGCCUGUGGUACGUGGACAGAAACGGGUCAUGGCACCCCGGCUUCGACUGCGAGUUCUUCACCUUCUGCUGCGGCACGUGCCACCAGCGGUACUGCUGCCGAGACCCUCUGCGCCUGCUCACCGAGCGCCAGCAGCGCCACUGUCUUGCCUUCAGCCCCAAGACCAUCGCGGGCAUCGCCUCAGCCGUGGUGCUCUUCAUCGCCAUCGUCACCACCAUCGUCUGCUGCUUCAUGUGCUCCUGCUGCUACUUGUACCAGCGCCGGCAGCACUCCCGCACCCCCCUACAAGGUGUGGGGCUGGGGGGGCAGGGAUGAGGGUGCAGGAGGAGGAGGGGGGUCCUGUAGGAAAAAGGGUUGGAGCAG
rnacentral:lncRNA from 1 species